rnacentral:rRNA from 1 species
CGGCACGGGUGAGUAACACGUAUCCAACCUGCCGUCUACUCUUGGACAGCCUUCUGAAAGGAAGAUUAAUACAAGAUGGCAUCAUGAGUCCGCAUGUUCACAUGAUUAAAGGUAUUCCGGUAGACGAUGGGGAUGCGUUCCAUUAGAUAGUAGGCGGGGUAACGGCCCACCUAGUCAACGAUGGAUAGGGGUUCUGAGAGGAAGGUCCCCCACAUUGGAACUGAGACACGGUCCAA